rnacentral:piRNA from 1 species
UCUCUAGCUUGUUCUGGAAGGUGAUCUG